GGGCGCAUAGCUCAGUUGGCAGAGCGCUUCCUCGACACGGAAGAGGUCUCUGGUUCGAAUCCAGAUGCGCCCACCA
rnacentral:tRNA from 1 species